UGGGGUAUAUUGCACAAUGGGCGCAAGCCUGAUGCAGCCAUGCCGCGUGUAUGAAGAAGGUCUUCGGGUUGUAAAGUACUUUCAGUCGGGAGGAAGGUGGUAAGGUUAAUAACCUUAUCAAUUGACGUUACCGACAGAAGAAGCACCGGCUAACUCCGUGCCAGCAGCCGCGGUAAUACGGAGGGUGCAAGCGUUAAUCGGAAUUACUGGGCGUAAAGCGCACGCAGGCGGUUGAUUGAGUCAGAUGUGAAAUCCCCGGGCUUAAACCGGGAGUUGCAUCUGAGACUGGUCAGCUAGAGUCUUGUAGAGGGGGGUAGAAUUCCAUGUGUAGCGGUGAAAUGCGUAGAGAUGUGGAGGAGUACCGGUGGCGAAGGCGGGCCCCUGGACAAAGACUGACGCUCAGGUGCGAAAGCGUGGGGAGCAAACAGG
rnacentral:rRNA from 1 species